rnacentral:rRNA from 1 species
UACAGAGGUCCCAAGCGUUGUUCGGAUUCACUGGGCGUAAAGGGUGCGUAGGCGGUCGGGUAAGUCUGACGUGAAAUCUCCAAGCUCAACUUGGAAAUGGCGUCGGAUACUAUUCGGCUGGAGGAAUGGAGGGGAGACUGGAAUUCUCGGUGUAGCAGUGAAAUGCGUGGAUAUCGAGAGGAACACCAGUGGCGAAGGCGAGUCUCUGGACAUUUCCUGACGCUGAGGCACGAAAGCCAGGGGAGCAAACGGG